rnacentral:lncRNA from 1 species
CUAACUUUCAGUUAAUAACUGCAAGUACACGCAUAUAUAUAUCUGUACUUUGUGUAUUUCCACUGUCCGACUCUUCUUGUGUUUGGGUAAGAGUUUUUGCGUACUUUGUAUCGAUCUGAUCUGAUCAAAUGUCAAAUGAGUUUGUUCUUAUGUCGUACUGUUAUACCUCAUUUCUAGGUAGGAAUGGGGGUAUCACCAGAAAACAUGUCUAACCACG